rnacentral:miRNA from 1 species
UACUUGGAAAGGUGCCAUUCA